AAGCUUUAGACUAAUCCCUAAUCUUCAUUGAAAACCCAGAUCAAAGUUGUGUUUUUCUGUUAGAAUAUUUUUUCUUAAACUCUUUAAAGAAAUUGAUUUUUUUUUUUUUUUUGCUUUUGUGUUUAUGAGUCUCCUACUUCAGCUGAGACGGGAAGCGAAAGAAGAGCAUGCAAUAUCUUCAACCUUCCAGACCUCAGGACUAGCACAAAAUCACACAGGAAAUUCUUGCUUCACAAUAUUUUUGACCAUGACCCUUUUUAAUCAGGUCUUGUAGAAAUCUGCCUGAUGCAUCCCCUUGAUGUAGUGAAAACAAGGUAAGAUUCUGCUUGAACAGGUUUUGUUGACUUUGGAAGAUAUUCAAAUUAGGAGCUAUAAGAAAACAAAAUGCUAGAACUUCUCACAGGGUAACUUGUGCCUUUAAUGGCUUUUAUAUUUACUUACUUGUAUACACAGCAUUUGACAGAUGGAAUUUG
rnacentral:lncRNA from 1 species